AGUUCUGCCAACGAUUUAUCUUCAGAAGACAAGCAGAUGAGGAGACAAAACCUACUGAUGUGGGUACCCAAGCAGGAACCCCCCUCUUGCACCGGCGACUCACGUGGGAAGAAGAAUUCACUGAGCUGAAAUGGAGUGAGAGCUAAGAUGCUCUCAGAAUAUUCUUAAAAUGACUGUGCUGCAAAGAAGCCCGGGUGAAUAGAAGAAAAUAGAAGGAAUGGUGGAUACAAGUGAAGGUUAAAAUGAGACCCCAUUUAUCGCACCAGCUGUUGGUGAUUUCAGCGCACCUUUCCAAGCCUCUUGAGAGUUCUGCUCUAACCACACUGCCCCCUAGUGUUCUCUCGCUUUGGUGCAACUGCAGGUUUCUCAUACUUCCGGAGAAAUAGAAAGCACCAGAUGACAGCCACCACACACUUUUGUCCCCAUUGCAAUAGGAUGCUUCUAACAAUCGUAAAAUUAUGAAACACUGAAUUCCUUAAAAGUUGUCCAUUUGUGGAUUUAUCUGAUGGUAACUAUUAAAUAUUUAAAAGUAACUUUAAUGAAUCUACUUAUGAUGAUUGAGUAAUCUAUUCUCUGAAUUCCACCAAAAAACCAUUUUAUGACCACAGUCAUAACGAACAUAUUUCUAUAGUCCUAAGCUGGCAAGAUAAAUAGAGAACAGUUCAUAAUAUAAACAAUAUAUUUAUUUAUUCCUAAACUAAUAAGAUGACUAUCAAUCUGUAAGAGACUAUGAAAAUCAAUACCGUAUACUUGGUAUAGUUGGUGAGAAUUUCAGGAGCAUGUUUGUUCUUUUAUUUGUGUUUUGGAAGAUACUUAGCCCACUUUUUUUUUUUUUUUUUUGAGAUGGAGUCUCACUCUUGUCGCCCAGGCUGGAGUGGAGUGGCAUGAUCUCGACUCACUGCAACCUCCACCUCCCAGGUUCAAGUGAUACUCCUGCCUCAGCCUCCCGAGUAGCUGGGACUACAGGUGCGCACCACCACACCCAGCUAAUUUCUGUAUUUUUAGUAGAGACGGGGUUUCACCAUGUUGGCCAGAUGGUCUCGAUCUCUUGACCUUGUGAUCUGCCCGCCUCGGCCUACUUAGCCAACUUUUAAGGACAAGUCCAGCCAUCCUUAUCCUUCACAGCAAAUAACAAACAUAGUGAUUUGUGGGGGUGAAGAGAUGUUGGUCAAGGGGUAUGAAAGUACAGUCAGAUAAAAGGAAUGUGUCCUAGAUUUGAUAGAAUACUAGGGAAAUUACAGUUAACAAAAAUUUAUUGUACACUUCAAAGUAGCUAGAAGCAAAGAACUGUAAUGUCCCCAACACAAAGAAAAGAUAAAUGUUUGGGGUGAUAAUAUCUCAAUUACUCUGAUUUGAUCAUUACACAUUGUAUGCAGGUAUCAAAAUAUCACAUAUCCCCCCAAAAUAUGUACAACUGUUGUAUAUUAAUAAAAAUAAAUACAAACAAAAAGACCCAAAUAGUUAUUAAUUAUAGUGUAAAUAUUAGACUAGAGCCAUUCUGGACAAGCACCUGUUCAACACCAUAUCCUCAUUUUCUGGCACCCAGUAGACACUGCGGAAGUAUUUUUGAUUGGUCCUGCAGAGGUUCUACCCCAACCUCACCAGGUGCAGGUGGAUGCCAGGUGCCAGCCUGGGAGAGGCUCUAAGUUCUAAAGAGUGUGUCGGUGGAUGGUGUGCUUUCAUCUUUUAGUUCAUAUGGCCCUGCCUUUUAUUAACAGCACAGAACACUGGGCCCAGACUCUUGCGAGAACAUGCCUUUGAACUGUUUGCUGCUCACCUUUUAGUGAAAGCUCUUGACAGAAAUAUUAAAGAGAAAG
rnacentral:lncRNA from 1 species